rnacentral:rRNA from 1 species
UGCGUAGGCGGGUCUUUAAGUCAGGGGUGAAAUCCUGGAGCUCAACUCCAGAACUGCCUUUGAUACUGAGGAUCUUGAGUUCGGGAGAGGUGAGUGGAACUGCGAGUGUAGAGGUGAAAUUCGUAGAUAUUCGCAAGAACACCAGUGGCGAAGGCGGCUCACUGGCCCGAUACUGACGCUGAGGCACGAAAGCGUGGGAGCAAACA